rnacentral:misc_RNA from 1 species
CACUACCAGAACCUCGAGAGACGUCAUACGAGUACACGCAACAACAGGGAAACUUCUAUCCAUUGGAGUUCGACCAGGAACAGAAAUCAAACGAUAUUUAAUUGAUACCGGCGCCGAAAACCAUUCUCCCAGGGCAAACCAAAAUCGAAACAAUUUAUCUGGAUAAAGUUCCGACGAGAGUAUGUUUCUGCAAUACUGGUGAGCAACCAACUAUAAUCACUAAUGAUCUUUCUUAUGAACACGAUCUCGAUAAAAUUGCUAAAAUGAAACAAAUAAUUAGACUAGACCAUAUUGAAGACAAACUUCGUAUGCCUAUCGAAAAGAUCCUCCUACAUUACAUAGACGUAUUUGACCUAGAAUCCGAUACCCUACCUUGUACCAACCUAACAAAACACA